UACGGAGGAUGCGAGCGUUAUCCGGAUUUAUUGGGUUUAAAGGGUGCGUAGGCGGGCUUUUAAGUCAGCGGUAAAAAUUCGGGGCUCAACCCCGUCCGGCCGUUGAAACUGGGGGCCUUGAGUGGGCGAGAAGAAGGCGGAAUGCGUGGUGUAGCGGUGAAAUGCAUAGAUAUCACGCAGAACCCCGAUUGCGAAGACAGCCUUCCGGCGCCCUACUGACGCUGAGGCACGAAAGUGCGGGGAUCGAACAGG
rnacentral:rRNA from 1 species